GAUGAACGCUGACAGAAUGCUUAACACAUGCAAGUCAACUUGAAUUUGGGUUUUUAACUUAGGUUUGGGUGGCGGACGGGUGAGUAACGCGUAAAGAACUUGCCUCACAGCUAGGGACAACAUUUGGAAACGAAUGCUAAUACCUAAUAUUAUGAUAAUAGGGCAUCCUAUAAUUAUGAAAGCUAUAAGCGCUGUGAGAGAGCUUUGCGUCCCAUUAGCUAGUUGGAGAGGUAACGGCUCACCAAGGCGAUGAUGGGUAGCCGGCCUGAGAGGGUGAUCGGCCACAAGGGGACUGAGACACGGCCCUUACUCCUACGGGAGGCAGCAGUGGGGAAUAUUGGACAAUGGACCGAGAGUCUGAUCCAGCAAUUCUGUGCGCACGAUGAAGUUUUUCGGAAUGUAAAGUGCUUUCAGUUGGGAAGAAACAAAUGACGGUACCAACAGAAGAAGUGACGGCUAAAUACGUG
rnacentral:rRNA from 1 species